rnacentral:sRNA from 1 species
GACAAUAUGUCCAGGUACUACAAUGCUUCGAGCUCAUGAUAUCAAACAUAGGCUCAAGAUGUCAGGAGCCAAAUGUAUUAUAACAGUUCCAGAACUAGUUCCAUAUGUUGAUGAGGCCGCAGAAAAUGCAGAGCUACUGAAAUAUAAAAUUCUUGUUGGAAAUAAAAAUGAAACAAGUUUUCUCCAGGCCUGGCUGGACUCACUAUGGAACACUGGUGGAGAAAGCAUCCAAUGAGUUUGAGUGUGCUGACACUAGAGCCUCUGACCCAAUGAUGCUAUUCUUUACAAGUGGAACAACAGGCACUCCAAAGAUGGCAGAACACAGUCAUGGUAGCUAUGGAUUAGGGCAUAUAACAACAGCAAGGUAUAUGCUGGUUUUUUGUUUGUUUUGUAUGUUCCUUACGACAUAAACAGUGACAGAUGAAAUUGGCUUUAUGAUAAUUACCUCAAGUAAACCUUAAAUUUACUAAGUAAUUAGAAUUGGUUUUAUGAUAAUUUAAAUCAAACUGUAAAUUUACUGUGUAUUUAGAAUUAACCAAAGGCACACAUUUUCUAGGAGUCUUUGAAUGAGAAAAAGAAUGUAUCUACUGUACAUUUAUUAA